UACGUAGGGGGCAAGCGUUGUCCGGAUUUAUUGGGCGUAAAGAGCGUGUAGGCGGUUAUACAGGUCCGCUGUGAAAACUGGAGGCUUAACCUCCAGACGUCGGUGGAAACCGUAUGACUAGAGUCCGGAAGAGGAGAGUGGAAUUCCUGGUGUAGCGGUGAAAUGCGCAGAUAUCAGGAAGAACACCCGUGGCGAAGGCGGCUCUCUGGGACGGUACUGACGCUGAGA
rnacentral:rRNA from 1 species